rnacentral:misc_RNA from 1 species
AAACCUCAAUCCCUCCGGUUUUCACGAACCGGUUGGACUUGGAUUUGGGUGUUGCCGCGGCUCGCGCCGUCGGCUCACCUCAAAAGUGUUAGUGAGACGGUGGAUAACCUGUCAGCCUGGCGUAAUAAGUUUCGCUGGGCCCUUGGGGUAAUCCUUUCGGCUUGCUCAUAACAACCAACUUUCUAUGA